GUGGCUAUAGCUCAGCUGGUUAGAGCACUGGUUUGUGGUACCAGGGGUCGUGGGUUCGAACCCCAUUAGCCACCCUA
rnacentral:tRNA from 1 species